rnacentral:rRNA from 1 species
UACGAAGGGUGCAAACGUUGCUCGGAAUCAUUGGGCGUAAAGCGCACGUAGGCGCCUUGCAAGUCGGAUGUGAAAUCCCACGGCUCAACCGUGGACGUGCAUCCGAAACUGCUCGGCUCGAGUAUGGAAGAGGGUCGCGGAAUUCCCGGUGUAGAGGUGAAAUUCGUAGAUAUCGGGAGGAACACCAGUGGCGAAGGCGGCGACCUGGGCCAAUACUGACGCUGAGGUGCGAAAGCGUGGGGAGCAAACAGGG